CUCCUGCACCACCUUCAACAUCCUCGCACCCAUUUACAAGCGCCUUAGCGAGAAGGAUCAGAGUUGCCGAGAGAGCCAGUACAGGGGCUACUGGCUGAGCCGGAAUGAGCGAAUCAUCGACCGACUCCUGGGAGACCGGUCCUCCAUCAUUUGCCUUCAGGAGGUAUGGAUGGGGAACGAGGAGCUGGUGGAUAUGUACGAGAAGAGGCUUGGAGAUGCUGGGUAUAUCAGCUUCAAGCUUCCUCGGACAAACAACCGCGGCGAUGGUGCCUUUUGAGUUCUUGCCCCUUGUCAGAAUUUGGUUUGGUUUAUGAAUUGCUAAUGCCUAUCAUUAUUAUUUGAUAUGGUAAUAUCCAUAUACCGACAUCUUUCAGCAUCUUUUAUUGUAGUUGCAUUAGUAUUUGUUGUAGAUAGUCUUUCAUUGUUAAAAGGGCAGCCCGGUGUAUGAAGCUCCCGUCAAUCUGGAGUCUAGAGAAAGGUCUAUUUUGCGCGGAGGCUCCCCUUCAAAGGGAGCCAGUGUUGGUUGCUUACUUGCUUCUUGCUUUUGGAAAUCCAUGCCCUUUUUCAGCUAAAGGUAAUCAUAGAGAUAAAUGGAGGGAUAGGAUACAUGUAGUUGACCCCAAAUAGUUGGGAUAACUAUCAGUUGAUUGAUCAUGAUGAUGAUAAUGCUACUUUAUUGUAUUUGUUCUGUAGAUCUAUCAAAGUUCAUUUUAGUAGGUCCUUGUCUUCUUUAUGGGAAAAUAAGUCUUUAAAAGAAAUCUUUGGGUUGCUAAUUGUCUUAGUUUGGAGUGUAGGGUAGUUUUUCGGAGAAGUUUAAUUUAAUUUGAUUUGUUCCAAAUUUGUUUAGGUUGGGGUUUUAAAAGGGUCCAAUUAUGUUUGAAUAUCUUUGGCAUAAUCAGAUUUUCUCUUGAGUAAUUUGUUCUCUAUUCAACUCUUUAUUUUUUGUUUGACAUUGUGUAUCUUUGGUGCUACGACAGAGCAAUCAAGGGAAUUCUAUGAAACUUUGUAAUUCAACGGCAGUUUAAGUGUAGUUGUUCCUUAUUAUAGCAGAUCUGCAUUAGGUCCAAGACGUUGUCAUAGAAUUUUUGAGAUUCUAGAGUGAGGUGUAAGCCUAUAGGUUUUUUCCCUUAUUAUUUUUAUCGCUAAAUAAUUAACCGCAAGUAUGACCUAGGUUCUAGUGAAUGGAUGUCUGUAAGCAAAUAAACUUAAACGGUAUCAUUGUUCAAAGUUCAAGGGUUGAAAUUUGAUUUGACAGCCUUUUGUCUUGAAGUAUGACGGCCUUUUGUGCAUUGAAUCCCUACAUAAAUGCCAUAUUAGCCAUUAGAUUCCCCUUCAUUUUGCAAAGAUCAUCUGGAUUCCUAGCUGAAGUUGCUUAAAUCAUAUUUAAAAAAUUCAACAUAUUUUGUGAAAUCAGACACUUCAUAUUCUAUGAUGGAAACAUCCUGAACUAGAUAUAUGAUUAGUGCCUAACGAUUCAGUGAUCGCUAGUUGAAAUCAGAAUGUUUCAUCUCCUUUUCAUCAUGCAACUUGAUACUGAAUCUCUAGUUGAAUUAAAUUCGUAUGCUCGUAUUACAGGGCUCCUCACUGCUGUUCGGAGAGACUGUUUUACGAUUAUAGAUUAUCGUGAGAUGCUCUUUAAUGAUUUGGGAGACCGUGUUGCGCAGCUACUACGUGUUGAAUCAGUUGUUCCUUUAUGGCAAGGGUGUAGUAGCAGCAUAAAUGUACAAAUUAUUAUCGUAAAUACACAUUUGCUAUUUCCACACGAUGCUAGUCUCUGUAUAGUCCGCUUGCAACAGGUAUACAAGAUACUUCAGUCCAUCGAGACAUAUCAAAAGGAGAACGAUCUUAGUCCUAUUCCUAUCAUACUUUGUGGAGAUUGGAACGGAAGCAAACGAGGUCAAGUAUACAAGUUUCUCAUAUCACAAGGUUUUGUGUCAUCGUACGAUGCAGCUCACCAUUAUACCGACAGCGAUGCUGAUUGCCACAGGUGGGUGAGCCACCGUAACCAUCACGGGAACAUUUGCGGUGUUGAUUUUAUAUGGCUUUUAAAUCCGAACAACUCUAGGAAACCUCUUCGAACUAGCUGGAAAGAAUCAGCCUUUGCCAUUAUUAAGGUAUCCUAACUAAAUGAACUAUGGUGCUUGUGGAAUUAUCUUUUGCAAGCAGCUUCUCUUUCUGAAGAAAAUGCCUUUGCGUUCCUUAAAGCCGACAGUCCUGGUGACUACAUUACCUAUCCCGGGUUCUGUCAGGCACUCCACCAGUUAGGUCUGACUGGUCAUCGCGAUGGCCUUAUUCCUGAAGAUGCAAAAGACUUGUGGACUGAAGCUGACAUUGAUGGAAAUGGUAUGGUGGAUCAUGAAGAAUUUCAGCAGCGAAUUUGGUGUCCAAGUCCAACAUGGUCAGAGCAUCCUCAGGAAAGCAUAGAGCUGGGAACCGAGUGGGGAUCAAACACCGCAAAGCCUGUUGCAUUAGGAUUCAGUGUUAAAGAUGCAGUUCUGUUUCCGCCGGAAGUUGAGGAGGGGAUGUGGCCGGAGAAUUACUCGCUUUCGGACCAUGCACCAUUAACUGUGGUGUUUUCUCCUGUGAAUUUGUCAUUUUCUCCACAAAGUUUCUGAACUUCUGAUGAAUUUGCUGAGCAGUUCUUGAAAAUGCUGAUGCAGCUGAAGGAAAUUUUGCUUCUUGAGUGAUCUUUUUUGUUGUUGAUCUUGUUUUUGCUCAAAUUAAUAUUUUUGUGUGAAAAUAUCAAUGAACAGGUCAAAAAUUCAGUUCUCAUUUUUUUUUUAUCAUAUCUUUGUACUUGUAAAAAUAUACAUAUUAUUCGUGUGCCUGUAAUAAAUUUUCCAUGAUAAAAGAAAUGUAUCCAUAUUUUUUAUUGAUAA